UACGUAGGGUGCAAGCGUUGUCCGGAAUUAUUGGGCGUAAAGAGCUCGUAGGCGGUCUGUCGCGUCGGCUGUGAAAACCCGGAGCUCAACUCCGGGCCUGCAGUCGAUACGGGCAGACUGGAGUUCGGCAGGGGAGACUGGAAUUCCUGGUGUAGCGGUGAAAUGCGCAGAUAUCAGGAGGAACACCGAUGGCGAAGGCAGGUCACUGGGCCGCAACUGACGCUGAGGAGCGAAAGCAUGGGGAGCGAACAGG
rnacentral:rRNA from 1 species